rnacentral:rRNA from 1 species
GUACACACCGCCCGUCACACCAUGAGAGUUGGGGAUACCCGAAGCCUGUGAGCUAACAGUAAUGGAGCAGCAGUCGAAGGUAGAAUCAAUGAUUGGGGUGAAGUCGUAACAAGGUACC